GAUGAACGCUGGCUACAGGCUUAACACAUGCAAGUCGAGGGGAAACGACGGGGAAGCUUGCUUCCCCGGGCGUCGACCGGCGCACGGGUGCGUAACGCGUAUCCAACCUGCCUCUGACUGAGGGAUAACCCGUCGAAAGUCGGCCUAAUACCUCAUGGUAUCGUCUGCGGGCAUCCAACGACGAUUAAAGAUUUCAUCGGUCAGGGAUGGGGAUGCGUCUGAUUAGCUUGUUGGCGGGGUAACGGCCCACCAAGGCUACGAUCAGUAGGGGUUCUGAGAGGAAGGUCCCCCACAUUGGAACUGAGACACGGUCCAAACGCCUACGGGAGGCAGCAGUGAGGAAUAUUGGUCAAUGGGCGAGAGCCUGAACCAGCCAAGUAGCGUGCAGGAAGACGGCCCUAUGGGUUGUAAACUGCUUUUAUGCGGGGAUAAAGUGAGGGACGUGUCCCUCAUUGCAGGUACCGCAUGAAUAAGGACCGGCUAAUUCCGUG
rnacentral:rRNA from 1 species